GAUGAACGCUGACAGAAUGCUUAACACAUGCAAGUCAACUUGAACUUCGGUUUGGGUGGCGGACGGGUGAGUAACGCGUAAAGAACUUGCCUCACAGCUAGGGACAACAUUUGGAAACGAAUGCUAAUACCUGAUAUUAUGAUUAUAUGGCAUCGUAUAAUUAUGAAAGCUAUAUGCGCUGUGAGAGAGCUUUGCGUCCCAUUAGCUAGUUGGAGAGGUAACAGCUCACCAAGGCGAUGAUGGGUAGCCGGCCUGAGAGGGUGAUCGGCCACAAGGGGACUGAGACACAGCCCUUACUCCUACGGGAGGCAGCAGUGGAGAAUAUUGGACAAUGGACCGAGAGUCUGAUCCAGCAAUUCUGUGUGCACGAUGAAGUUUUUCGGAAUGUAAAGUGCUUUCAGUUGGGAAGAAAAAAAUGACGGUACCAACAGAAGAAGUGACGGCUAAAUACGUG
rnacentral:rRNA from 1 species